CGAGGAAUCUUGGUCAAUGGGCGCAAGCCUGAACCAGCGACGCCGCGUGGAGGACGAAGGCCUUCGGGUUGUAAACUCCUUUUGCGUGGGACGAAGAUCUGACGGUACCACGCGAAUAAGCCACGGCUAACUACGUGCCAGCAGCCGCGGUAAUACGUAGGUGGCAAGCGUUGUCCGGAUUUACUGGGCGUAAAGCGCGCGCAGGUGGUUUGUUAAGUCCGGUGUGAAAGCUCCCGGCUCAACUGGGAGAGGUCAUCGGAUACUGGCAGACUUGAGGAAGGUAGAGGUCGGUGGAAUUCCCGGUGUAGUGGUGAAAUACGUAGAGAUCGGGAGGAACACCAGUGGCGAAAGCGGCCGACUGGGCCUUUCCUGACGCUGAGGCGCGAAAGCGUGGGGAGCGAACCG
rnacentral:rRNA from 1 species